AGAGUUUGAUCCUGGCUCAGAUUGAACGCUGGCGGCAUGCUUUACACAUGCAAGUCGAGCGGCAGCACGGGUGCUUGCACCUGGUGGCGAGUGGCGGACGGGUGAGUAAUGCAUCGGAACGUGUCCAGGAGUGGGGGAUAACGCAUCGAAAGAUGUGCUAAUACCGCAUAUGCUCUGAGGAGUAAAGCAGGGGACCGCAAGGCCUUGCGCUUUUGGAGUGGCCGAUGCCUGAUUAGCUAGUUGGUGGGGUAAGGGCCUACCAAGGCGACGAUCAGUAGUUGGUCUGAGAGGACGACCAGCCACACUGGGACUGAGACACGGCCCAGACUCCUACGGGAGGCAGCAGUGGGGAAUUUUGGACAAUGGGCGCAAGCCUGAUCCAGCAAUGCCGCGUGAGUGAAGAAGGCCUUCGGGUUGUAAAGCUCUUUCAGUUGAGAAGAAAAGGUUGUGGUAAAUAAUCACAAUUCAUGACGGUAUCGACAGAAGAAGCACCGGCUAACUACGUGCCAGCAGCCGCGGUAAUACGUAGGGUGCAAGCGUUAAUUGGAAUUACUGGGCGUAAAGGGUGCGCAGGCGGCUUUGUAAGUCAGAUGUGAAAUCCCCGGGCUUAACCUGGGAAUUGCGUUUGAAACUACAAAGCUAGAGUGUAGCAGAGGGGGGGUGGAAUUCCAUGUGUAGCAGUGAAAUGCGUAGAGAUAUGGAAGAACAUCGAUGGCGAAAGCAGCCCCCUGGGUUAACACUGACGCUCAUGCACGAAAGCGUGGGGAGCAAACAGGAUUAGAUACCC
rnacentral:rRNA from 1 species